AAGUCGCACGAAGGUUUCGGCCUUAGUGGCGGACGGGUGAGUAACGCGUAGGAAUCUAUCCGUGGGUGGGGGAUAACUCUGGGAAACUGGAGCUAAUACCGCAUGAUACCUGAGGGUCAAAGGCGCAAGUCGCCUGCGGAGGAGCCUGCGUUUGAUUAGCUUGUUGGUGGGGUAAUGGCCUACCAAGGCGAUGAUCAAUAGCUGGUCUGAGAGGAUGAUCAGCCACACUGGGACUGAGACACGGCCCAGACUCCUACGGGAGGCAGCAGUGGGGAAUAUUGGACAAUGGGGGCAACCCUGAUCCAGCAAUGCCGCGUGUGUGAAGAAGGUUUUCGGAUUGUAAAGCACUUUCGGCGGGGACGAUGAUGACGGUACCCGCAGAAGAAGCCCCGGCUAACUUCGUGCCAGCAGCCGCGGUAAUACGAAGGGGGCUAGCGUUGCUCGGAAUGACUGGGCGUAAAGGGCGUGUAGGCGGUUUGUACAGUCAGAUGUGAAAUCCCCGGGCUUAACCUGGGAGCUGCAUUUGAGACGUGCAGACUAGAGUGUGAGAGAG
rnacentral:rRNA from 1 species